GUUAGGUUUGUAUUGGGUUGAGAUUUGGGCUUUGGCUGGUGUUGGGUUUGUAUUUCAGGUUAAUUUGGGGCUUAAUGGGUUUAUUGUAUUUUGGGUUUGGGUAAAUUAAUCGGAUCUGCUAUUGUAACAAAACUGGACAUUUAUUUAUUUUUUAUUUUAUUUUAUUAUUUUAUGUAUGUAGGCCGGGCAUAAAUUGGGUAUUACACCCGGAAUUGGAACUCAAACCAUUACCGUAACAUUUAAGGAUUCUUAUAGAGGAAAAGGCAUAUCCAAAU
rnacentral:lncRNA from 1 species